rnacentral:tRNA from 1 species
GGUUGUAGCUCAGUGGUAGAGCGCUUGCCUAGCACUGGGUUCAAUCCCCAGCACCACAAAAAAAUAAACAUUUAAAAUAAAAGUAUUGUGUCCAACUAUAACAAAAAAAUAAAUAUUAAAAAAAUUAUCAAAAAUAUAUAUUUUUUAAAAGUGCUGAUGAUGUGGCUCAGUAAUUAAGCACCCCUGGGUUUAAUUCCAAGUAUCA